AUUGAACGCUGGCGGCGUGCCUAAUACAUGCAAGUCGAGCGAAUCUCUUCGGAGAUUAGCGGCGGACGGGUGAGUAACACGUAGGCAACCUGCCUGUAAGACUGGGAUAACUUCGGGAAACCGGAGCUAAUACCGGAUAGGUUUUCGUAUUGCAUGAUACGAAAUGGAAAGGCGGCUUUUAGCUGUCACUUACAGAUGGGCCUGCGGCGCAUUAGCUAGUUGGUGAGGUAACGGCUCACCAAGGCGACGAUGCGUAGCCGACCUGAGAGGGUGAGCGGCCACACUGGGACUGAGACACGGCCCAGACUCCUACGGGAGGCAGCAGUAGGGAAUCUUCCGCAAUGGACGAAAGUCUGGCGGAGCAACGCCGCGUGAGCGAUGAAGGCCUUCGGGUCGUAAAGCUCUGUUGUUAGGGAAGAACAAGUACGAGAGUAACUGCUCGUACCUUGACGGUACCUAACCAGAAAGCCACGGCUAACUACGUGCCAGCCGCCGCGGUAAGAC
rnacentral:rRNA from 1 species